UGUCAAAGAAACUAUCCGCACACUGCCUGAUUGCCCUUUUUACUCUUUUUCCUUCCUGCACCGAUGCAAACCCAACGAAGAACCAUGGUUCUACCUCUUCUCAUUAAUGUGCUGCUGUAUUGAGGAAAGAAGGAAGACACAAAGCCUUCUAUCACAUGUCACCUAUCCUCCCUUCUCUUCUAUUUAAUGAGUACAAGCCUCCCUUCUCUUCGUCACUCACACAAGCAAACACACGAAAAAAAGAGAAAAGAGAGAAAGAACAGCGACGGGCUGAGGAGAAGGAGAAGGAAGCACGAAUAGAAUCGUCAUCACCAUCUUCGUGCAUAAUCGUCGAAGAAGGGGAAAGAAACUAUGGAAGAUGCUACCCGAAGCCAGAGGAAGAGCUCCAUUCCUUUUUCUUUCUGAUUUUUUCAACAUUUUUCUACUGGUGACCAAACCAUUCAAGUUCAGUCCAUUACAAGAGGUUUUUGAUUCAAGAUAAGCAAAGGAGCAGAAUUCGGUUUGUAAUUCUCAAAGAAAAGGAAGGGUUAGGAUGUCAGUUUAGUCUUAUAUGUUACCGUUAGUUGUAUUUUCUUGUUAUGGAUGAUUUAGUGUGAUUAAAUAUUAUAAUUGUUGCUGAAAUUACUGCUAUUAUGCCUUGAUAUUGUUGAAGAAUUGUUGAUAUAAAUAGUGCAGUGGUGAUAUUGUGAAUUGUGGUAUAUUGUGCAGAAUGUUAUAUCAUUUGUGAUAUAUACAUUGAUUUGAGGCUCUUGGCUGUGCUUGAGUUGGAAAUAUGAAAUAAUAAGAAUCAAUUAUGAGAAUAA